AGUUACCAGCAUUAAGUUGGGGACUCUAGGGAGACCGCCGGUGUUAAACCGGAGGAAGGUGGGAUGACGUCAAGUCCUCAUGGCCUUUAUGUCUGGGGCUACACACGUACUACAAUGGCUGCCACAGAGGGAUGCGAAGUCGUGAGGCGAAGCAAAUCUCAAAAAAGCAGCCUCAGUUCAGAUUGCAGUCUGCAACUCGACUGCAUGAAGGUGGAAUCGCUAGUAAUCGCAGAUCAGCACGCUGCGGUGAAUACGUUCCCGGGCCUU
rnacentral:rRNA from 1 species